AACCAUAGAAACCUGCGGAGUACCUGCGGAAGGAUCAUUACCGAGUUUACAAACUCCCAAACCCUUUGUGAACCUUACCUAUCGUUGCUUCGGCGGGAUCGCCCCGGGCCGGCCCUUCACGGGGCCUCCGGAACCAGGCGCCCGCCGGAGAACCCAAACUCUUUGUUUUUAUGGUUUUCUCCUCUGAGUGGAUUAUAAACAAAUAAAUCAAAACUUUUAACAACGGAUCUCAGAUCGGAA
rnacentral:misc_RNA from 1 species